UCUAGGUAUUUUGCUAAGCAUAGGCAGUUCUCCCCUGAAGAGGAAUGUCUUAACAUAAGAUAAGAUAAAAUUUAUUAGCAGGAUGGGCACCACGUGGUUUUGAAAACUGGCAGGGUCCAGUAUGGUUAGAAUGUUGGGUAUGGAGGGCAAGAGGCAAGAGAGAAAGAUGGAAAGGUCAGCUGGGCCCAGCUGAAGGGCCCUAUAAGGCCAGGCUAUGGUGUGCGCAUCUCAUCUUGGAGGCAGAGGAGCCAUGGAUCUAAGCGGAGAAACACACAAGGCAGCCGCGAAGUUUACUGUCCAUGCAAGGACCCACUUGAGAGCGGAUGGCCGUGCCAACCAGAUGGAACGCCCGGACAGCAGGUGUAAACCAGGACAUCCUGGCAAACAGGUCGGUUGGGUCCCCCAAGACAGAUGGAACACUUCUGUGCCCAAGGCCACUACCAAGGGCUUUUGAAGGCCCCAUGUGUGCUGGAAAUAUUACUAAAUCUCACAAAAACCCAGGGUGAUUUCUUCCUGAAAUCAUCCAUUACUUCCUCCUUGGUUCAUCUGUUCUCAGUAACUUACUAUUUCUGGACCCCAGGACACUUCCACCACGAAGUCUUUUCUCUACUUACAAUGCUCCUGUCCGUCUUUCCCGUCUCCAUCCAUGGAGAUCCCAGUGAUUCUUCGAGACCUAACUCAGCAGUGCCUCUUGUGUGAAGAAAGGGCGGGUUGGGGACCUUUUUGUUACCUAAGCUCCUGCAGAGCUGCAUCUGUAUCCUUUUGGGGCAUUUGCCUCCUUCCAUUUUGUUACGUUUCUGGGUGGAAUCAUGUCCACUGCUGAGCUGAGAGGAGGGACCAAGCCCAAAGCCUGGAGUCCCCAGAACCCCGGGGCCACCGAAGCCGGACGUGCGCACUUAACUGCUGCGCCAACGGGCCGGCCCCGCCACUACUUCUGAUGCUAAUGGUCACUCUUGUAUCCGUAUCGACCUGAUCAUUCUUGCAGGUGUUGCUGCUGGCCUUCCUGCACUGGAUGCUCACAGAGAGAGGAGAGAUGUUUCUAACAAAAAGAGGGUGCCCCGUAUUCUCAGUUUGUUGUCAAAUUUCCCCCGAUGGAGCUCACCACAAGUUUCUGCACAGUUGAAAGAAAUAUGAGGGCACCUUCCCUAGGACACCCAACAUACUUCUCUGGACAGCAAAUGCCCCGUGUUCCAGCAAAGGUGCUAUGAACACAACAAAUCUAUGCCUUUUUAUAUGUACUUUUUAUACACUAGACACUAUGCUAAAUGCUCUAUAUAUGUUGUCUCAUUUGAUCUUACUUUAGUGAGGUAGGUACUACCAUUGUUCCUAUUCUACAGGUGAGGACACAGAUGUGCAGAGACCCAGCACCUCGACCCUCUGAUCUCAAGGUGAGAGGGUGGAGGCAGCUCACUCUGCUCUUCAGAUUUAACGGGACUUUUCACUGCAUUGCAGUCACCAACCCUGACUGUUGUCCUCCAGUCUCGUCAAGCGCCCACUGGGUCAUCCAGGCAACCAUUCUCCAGCAGAAAUCCCUCCUGUGCCUGAUGUGUAGGUGGACAUUAGGCCUCACUGAAUUACAUGGGCUGAUGGCGCUCAGUUUUCUUUUAGUUACAAUGCAAUUCAAAAUGUGAAUAAAGGCUCAAGAAAUAGGAAAUGCGGUCUGAACAAUAACGAAAGCUAAGAUAUUGAGUAAUAUCGCCAUGCUCUGUUCUGUGAGGACUCGGUCCUCAUAACAACCCCAAGAGGUAGGGACUAUUAUUAUUCCCAUUUUAUAGGCACAGACAGGUUAAGUAACUUGCACAAGAUUGCACAGCUCAUAAGUGGAGAAGCCAGCAUUUGAAUCCAGCAAUAGGGUAGGUCUGUUUCUCGCAAAUGCCAAAUACAGCAAGACUUUCAAUCUUCCUGUAUGCUUCUUUCUUAUCGCACUUUAGAAAAGAAUUCACCAAAAAUACCAGAAUUGAAAUCAGGCAUGAGCAGUAGUUCAAACGAGAGGUUCACAUCCAAUGAGUUCUACUCGUAGGCAGAGGGGAAAGGAAAAACUAAAAAGACUGAAAAUAUAAAGAAGAGAAAGGAAAGUGCUGGGGCCGGCCCCACGGUGCAGCGUUAAGUACGCACGUUCCACUUCGGCAACCCGGGGUUUGCCGGUUUGGAUCCCGGGUGUGGACAUGGCACCGCUUGGCAUGCCGUACUGUGGUAGGCGUCCCACAUAUAAAGUAGAGGAAGAUGGGCACGGAUGUUAGCUCAGGGCCAGUCUUCCUCAGAGAGAAGAGGAGGAUUGGCAGCAGUUAGCUCAGGGCUAAUCUUCCUCAAAAAAAACAAAAGAAGUAGUGGCAAAUUAAGCCCAUUAAGUCACAGGCUGCGAAGAGACAAGGAAUCUUUAUUAAUCACCAGCAGAGGACAUGACCUAGGAGACUCUGCCAGGAGAAAGGCAGUCAGAGCACCCACGGUUCUCCGGGUGGGGGCUCGGAGCCAGUGGGUUUGCACUAGCGUGGUUACUGCAUCCUGCACUCCUAGAAUGACUCACGCAGACCAUGGCGCCUCGAGAACUAGGGGUUACAGACAGUACCGAAUCACAGUCCCGGGGAAAGGAGUUUGUCCGUUUCCACACACAUCUGCACCUGACCCAUACGUCUAUCUUGUCCAAGGAUCCCCAAGGGAGGGCAUCCCACCAACUUUCCUUGCCAUUCUAUGCCAACAAUCACCAUUUUUUUCUUUAUGUUUAUCCUUAUUAGUGUCCAUUCCUUCUUCGGCUCUGUUUGUGGAGAGAUAGCUAAGGUGGUUUGCAUUUUCCUGUGGCAAGCACAUCUCAGAAAGUCCAAAUGGCACAGUUUCCCUCCGUUAAUUUUCACUUAGAUCUUAACCUUCUCAUUUUAUUUCACUUGGACUCUGGAUAGCCAAGUAGAAAUAAUGCUUGGCGGCCUUUGGGCAGGACACCGGCUGCUUCUCCACCCCUUCUCCUGUGGUUUAGUGAACCACACAGUCCGGUUCUGCAAUAUCCUUGUUUCUGGACUUCUAACCUCCUUCCCAGCAGGGAGAUGAUUCAUGCUAAAAGCCACGUCUUACACCAAGGCUUACUGGGCACACCAAAUGCUCAUUCAAAUGGCAACAUCUGUCCUUGGAACCCAAGGUUAAAUUUAGUUAAAGACGUCCCAACUCUGCCCCCAGCCCUCUUCAGUUCCAUCCGCUUUACUUUCCUGAAGAUGUGACGAGAAAGAUUUCAGAAGUGAGCACGACGGUGCGUCCCAGUUCUCUGGGCAGAGCUGCACCCGGCGCUGGGACUCUAUGAUGCUCUGAAGGAGGCAUGACCGUGCAGUGGGCUUACAACAAACUCACCGUUGGCAGAAGCUUCCAUGUCACCACUUUGGCCCUGGUAAAAGCAGAUUUCACGGCAGCACAGGGACGGGCUACAGUGGGAGGUGAGGAGGCAGUAAGGAGAACUUUCUUUAAUGUUCUCCAGAUCUGUCAAACCAAGCUUUGCUCUGUGCUGCCAUGCCACCCAGACGUCUGGGUGGUAACUCAGACUUUGAAGUUGUCACUACUCCUAGCUUGAUGGCUUGGAGGAGGCCCAGGAACUACAGGAACUUAAGGCUCAUACAAUCACUUGUGCGGGACCUGCGUUCUCAGCCUCCGCCCACUCAGCCUGCCAGCCGCCCAGGUCACAGCCAAGUCCGAUUGCUGCCCAUGCCUCCUGGAAAAAGCAAGAAACCCGCUGGGCAGACACUUGUCGAGCUGCAGUGGUUGAAACUGGCGGGAGCUGAGUGCAGGGAGAGGGUGAGAAAAGAGGCGGGGGCUGGGCGUUUGCACAAGUUUAGGGUGGAGCCGUGGAGUGAGGCACUGUGGCGCAGGCUGGAAAGGUACAGAGGACACUUCCGUAGAGCAUGUUGUGGACUGUGUCUAUGGAUCCCCUUUGAUUUGGGGGGACAUGAAUAAAACAUUGGCGUUCUUUUGAAAUUCCCUUUGUUUGUAGGACUGUUUAUUUGGCUGCUCCACGAGGGGCCAGGCUGUAUAGAGACCACACAUGUGAGUGGAGGACAGGCCCACUCAUAUCAACAGGGCAAGUCCGGGGAAGGUUUCUACCCGCUGGGCACUGGAGCGCAAUAGCAGGCAGGGAUGAAAAGCAAGAGGCUGAGGGAGACACUGGGCUUUGGGGUGGAUUGCAUGGGCGAUGGUGGGAGUGGAGGGUGUGGUGGUGGGAGUGGAGGGUGUGGUGGUGGUAGUGGGGGUGGCGUUGGUUUACGUGGAAACAUAUUUGCUAUUAACUUUAUAUUCUGCCAGGGAUGCUGGAGUCCAGGCUGCCUGGCUGCCGGGCUGUGGGGUGGGUGAGGGGACAAUGAAGAGAAUACUAAAGUUUAACGUCCUUUUUAUGACCGACUUUUGCUGCUGGCACCUUUCUCUUGGAAAAAGACAUUGAUUCAUGACUGAACAGUCCCUACACACAGAGUAAAAGACAUCCUCGGAGGCUCUGAGUUGCUUUCUGUUUAAAGGAAUGGAUGGCGUCCAAAGGCUAUUCGGAAAGUGACUGAGAGAAAUCAGAGCAAAAGAGCUAAUGUUUUUAUUUCUGUCUCCUGCUCCCCCAGAUGAGUUUGAAAUUCUUGCUUCGGGCCAUAUGGAGUGGGUAUGUACUGCUCUCUGUUUCUACUCAACUGCCUUUCACUGUGUCAAGUGGACCCUUUGAAGCAGCCUUCUCUUACCUCAGAUUCUGACAUGAAAAAUUGUUUAAUUGCCUUUCAGUCUACACAAGAUAAGGGACCAUGUCUCCAAAUGGUAUAAUUCUCUUAACCAAACAAUAGCAGAACCACCCAGAGCAGUUUUCAAAGCAAGAAAAGAAUUCCGUACAUAUGUUAAGCAUUUUGUUCCUUUCAAAGUGCUUUGCUCUGUAGUAUUUUUUUAAAUUGGAUAAAUGCACACGAAGCAUGGCGAAAAUUGUAUCACAUAACAAAAAAGUAAGAUUUUAGAAUUUUGUAACAAUUAUUGAUUUGAUUUUCUCUAUAGGAAACUGAGGCACGAGGCGGGAAGUUAUGGCCUGACUCCCAGCAGCUGAGCUGAACCCGGACAGCGGUCUGCUUCCUUGCUCUGCUGUGCUCCCCUCUGCAUCAGGUGGCCUCGCCCAACACAGGACAACGACCAGCUUGGACCCCCCAGAGGCUUCCCAGAGUGGGUGGGGGCUGGAUUGGGGCCCACAGGGGCUGACCCCGUGGCCGAGUGGUUAAGUUCGCGUGCUCCGCUGCAGGCGGCCCAGUGUUUCGUUGGUUCGAAUCCUGGGCGUGGACAUGGCACUACUCAUCAAACCAUGCUGAGGCAGCGUCCCACAUGCCACAACAGAAGGACCCACAAUGAAGAAUAUACAACUAUGUACCGGGGGGCUUUGGGGAGAAAAAGGAA
ensembl:lncRNA